GGCAAAAUGAGAGCCCGACUGUCUCUUAUAACUAAUCAAUUAAACUGAUCCCCCAGUACAAAAGCUGAGAUACCACCAUAAGACCAGAAGACCCUGUGAAGCUUUAACUAACCUAUUAAACCCAAUAAUAAUUAAUUUCGGUUGGGGCGACCUUGGAACAAAAAAGAACUUCCAAUAUAUGACUUCAUCAUACAAAAGGCAAACAAGCCACAUUAGACCCAGUAUAUCUGAUUAAUGAACCAAGUUACUCCAGGGAUAACAGCGCUAUCUUCUUCAAGAGCCCAUAUCAAAAAGAAGGUUUACGACCUCGAUGUUGGAUCAGGACAUCCUAGUAAUGCAACCGUUACUGAGGGUUCGUUUGUUCAACGAUUAACAGCCCUACGUGA
rnacentral:rRNA from 2 species